ACGGGGAAUUUUCCGCAAUGGGGGCAACCCUGACGCAGCGACGCCGCGUGCGGGAUGACGGCCUUCGGGUUGUAAACCGCUUUUGCCAGGGAAGAAGAAUGUGACGGUACCUGGUGAAUAAGCCCCGGCUAACUACGUGCCAGCAGCCGCGGUAAUACGUAGGGGGCGAGCGUUGUCCGAAGUUCCUGGGCGUAAAGCGCGCGUAGGCGGCUUUUUAAGUCUGGGUGGAAAGGUUCAGUGCUCAACACGAACAGUGCCUUGGAUACUGGGAAGCUUGAGUGUGGCAGAGGAUAGUGGAAUGGCUGGUGUAGCGGUGAAAUGCGUAGAUAUCAGUCGGAACACCCAUGGUGAAGGCAUCUAUCAGGGGUAACACUGACAGCUCAAUUUACUCAAUU
rnacentral:rRNA from 1 species